AAUUCCUCUAUUCAAGAAAGGGCUAAAGCACUUGAAGUUGUUCAGUACAUUAAAGAUACGUACCACGAUGGUAACUGCGAUGUCGCUGCAAUUGAGGAUGGUAAACUGAUGGCUGAUGCCGAGACCGGAGAAUUCUGGGGUUUUUUUGGUGGCUUUGCUCCUCUUCCAAGGAAGACUACACGGGAUGAGGCUAAAAACAUUGAUACUGUUCCUACUAGAUUGUAUAGAGUUCAAAAAGGGCAAGCAGAACCUGUUGAGAUUGAGUCUUUGACAAGGGAGUUGCUAGAUACGAAUGGUUGCUAUAUAGUUGAUUGUGGGAUAGAAGUUUUUGUGUGGAUGGGAAGAAACACUUCUCUUGAUGAGAGGAAAACUGCAAGUGGGGCUGCAGAUGAAUUACUGCUUGGCCUUGAUAGACCAAAGUGCCAUGUAGUGCGUGUAAUUGAAGGGUUUGAGACUGUCAUGUUCCGCUCAAAGUUUGAUUCUUGGCCUCAAUCAACUAAUGUGGCAGUGACAGAGGAUGGUAGAGGCAAGGUUGCUGCACUUCUAAAGCGUCAAGGGCUUAAUGUGAGGGGCCUAAUGAAAGCAGCUCCUCCAAAGGAAGAACCGCAACCAUAUAUAGACUGCACUGGCAAUUUACAGGUGUGGCGUGUGAAUGGACAGCAGAAGACUCUUCUUCAAGCAUCCGAUCAAUCAAAGUUUUAUAGUGGAGACUGUUACAUAUUCCAAUACUCAUAUCCUGGAGAAGAUAAAGAGGAGCAUCUCAUUGGCACCUGGUUUGGGAGGCAAAGUGUUGAGGAAGACAGAGUUUCAGCAAUUUCUCAAGCAGGCAAGAUAGUUGAGUUACUGAAGUUCUCAGCUACUCAGGCUCGCAUUUAUGAAGGUUAUGAACCACUUCAAUUCUUUGUCAUCUUUCAGAGCUUUAUCGUAUUUAAGGGUGGUCUCAGUGAAGGAUACAAGAAACACCUAGCAGAGAAGGAG
rnacentral:misc_RNA from 1 species